rnacentral:lncRNA from 10 species
CCAGCUGCGUGCUGGGAGAACCACUGCUUUCUUCAAAGCUGUCAGACAGGGACAUUUAAGUCUGCAGAGGUUACUGCUGUCUUUUUGUUUGUCUGUGCCCUGCCCCCAGAGGUGGAGCCUAAAGAGGCAGGCAGGCCUCCUUGUGCUGUGGUGGGCUCCACCCAGUUGGAGCUUCCCAGCUGCUUUGUUUACCCAAGCAAGCCUGGGCAAUGGCGGGCACCCCUCCCCCAGCCUUGCUGCUGCCUUGCAGUUUGAUCUCAGACUGCUGUGCUAGCAAUCAGUGAGACUCCGUGGGCAUAGGACCCUCCAAGCCAUGUGCGGGAUAUAAUCUCCUGGUGCACCGUUUUUUAAGCCUGUCAGAAAAGCGCAGUAUUAAGAGGUUAACAAGAAGAAGAAAGAAAUAGAGAAGCUGGAGUAAGAGAGAAUGGCAUCAUGACAGAUUUUUCAGGAAAGAAAGCCAUAAAUGGAUUCAGGAAAUCUAUUUGUCACAUCUCGUUUGAAGAAUGGUGAAGUAAAGGCAGUCCACUAAGAGUUUCAGCUUUCCCCUUUAACAUUGUAGGAAGGAUCAUCUAUGCAGCUUGAAAAUUGUUUUGUCGAGGUGUAUGACAUUUUCAUCUCCCAUCAUGUGAAAUCGCCUGCUUCUGCUUUGCUCUUUGCCAUGAUUGUAAGUUCCCUGAUUCCUCCCCAGAAGCUGAUACUGCUAUGCCUCUUGGACAGCCUGUGGAACCAUGAGCCAAUUAAACAUCUUUUCCUUAAAAAUUACUCAGUCUCAGGUAUUUCUUUUCAGCAG